rnacentral:rRNA from 1 species
AUUGAACGCUGGCGGAAUGCUUUACACAUGCAAGUCGAACGGCAGCACGGGGCAACCUGGUGGCGAGUGGCGAACGGGUGAGUAAUACAUCGGAGCGUGCCCAAUCGUGGGGGAUAACGUAGCGAAAGUUACGCUAAUACCGCAUACGAUCUACGGAUGAAAGCGGGGGAUCGCAAGACCUCGCACGAAUGGAGCGGCCGAUGUCAGAUUAGGUAGUUGGUGGGGUAAAGGCUCACCAAGCCAACGAUCUGUAGCUGGUCUGAGAGGACGACCAGCCACACUGGAACUGAGACACGGUCCAGACUCCUACGGGAGGCAGCAGUGGGGAAUUUUGGACAAUGGGCGCAAGCCUGAUCCAGCCAUUCCGCGUGCAGGAUGAAGGCCUCGG